GACGAACGCUGGCGGCGUGCCUAAUACAUGCAAGUAGAACGCUGAAGCGAGGAGCUUGCUCUUCUUGGAUGAGUUGCGAACGGGUGAGUAACGCGUAGGUAACCUGCCUUGUAGCGGGGGAUAACUAUUGGAAACGAUAGCUAAUACCGCAUAACAAUGGAUGACACAUGUCAUUUAUUUGAAAGGGGCAAUUGCUCCACUACAAGAUGGACCUGAGUUGUAUUAGCUAGUAGGUGAGGUAAUGGCUCACCUAGGCGACGAUACAUAGCCGACCUGAGAGGGUGAUCGGCCACACUGGGACUGAGACACGGCCCAGACUCCUACGGGAGGCAGCAGUAGGGAAUCUUCGGCAAUGGGGGCAACCCUGACCGAGCAACGCCGCGUGAGUGAAGAAGGGUUUCGGAUCGUAAAGCUCUGUUGUAAGUCAAGAACGGGUGUGAGAGUGGAAAGUUCACACUGUGACGGUAGCUUACCAGAAAGGGACGGCUAACUACGUG
rnacentral:rRNA from 1 species